AGGGUUCGAUUAUGGCUCAGAACGUACGCUGGCGGCACGCCUAACACAUGCAAGUCGAACGAAGUAGCAAUACUUAGUGGCAGACGGGUGAGUAACAUGUAGGUAUCUACCCUUUGGCCUGGAAUAACACGAGGAAACUUGUGCUAAUACCGGAUAAGUCUUUACGGAGAAAGCUUUAUGCACCAUUGGAUGAGCCUGCACUUGAUUAGUUUGUUGGUGGGGUAAUGGCCUACCAAGACUGUGAUCAAUAGCUGAUUUGAGAGGAUGAUCAGCCACAUUGGGACUGAGACACGGCCCAAACUCCUACGGGAGGCAGCAGUGGGGAAUCUUGCACAAUGGAGGAAACUCUGAUGCAGCGAUGCCGCGUGAGUGAAGAAGGCCCUUGGGUUGUAAAGCUCUUUCGUCGGGGAAGAAAAUGACUGUACCCGAAUAAGAAGGUCCGGCUAACUUCGUGCCAGCAGCCGCGGUAAUACGAAGGGACCUAGCGUAGUUCGGAAUUACUGGGCUUAAAGAGUUCGUAGGUGGUUGAAAAAGUUAGUGGUGAAAUCCCAGAGCUUAACUCUGGAACUGCCAUUAAAACUUUUCAGCUAGAGUAUGAUAGAGGAAAGCAGAAUUUCUAGUGUAGAGGUGAAAUUCGUAGAUAUUAGAAAGAAUACCAAUUGCGAAGGCAGCUUUCUGGAUCAUUACUGACACUGAGGAACGAAAGCAUGGGUAGCGAAGAGGAUUAGAUACCCUCGUAGUCCAUGCCGUAAACGAUGUGUGUUAGACGUUGGAAGUUUAUUUUCAGUGUCGCAGCGAAAGCGAUAAACACACCGCCUGGGGAGUACGACCGCAAGGUUAAAACUCAAAUGAAUUGACGGGGACCCGCACAAGUAGUGGAGCAUGUGGUUUAAUUCGAAGAUACGCGCAGAACCUUACCAACACUUGACAUGUUCGUCGCGACUCUAAGAGAUUAGAGUUUUCGGUUCGGCCGGACGAAACACAGGUGCUGCAUGGCUGUCGUCAGCUCGUGUCGUGAGAUGUUGGGUUAAGUCCCGCAACGAGCGCAACCCUCACUUUUAGUUGCCAUCAUUAAGUUGGGCACUCUGAAAGAACUGCCAGUGAUAAGCUGGAGGAAGGUGGGGAUGACGUCAAGUCCUCAUGGCCCUUACGUGUUGGGCUACACACGUGCUACAAUGGUAUCUACAACAGGAAGCAAGACUGCGAGGUCAAGCAAAUCCUUAAAAGAUACCUCAGUUCGGAUUGCACUCUGCAACUCGAGUGCAUGAAGCUGGAAUUACUAGUAAUCGUGGAUCAGCGUGCCACGGUGAAUGCGUUCCCGGGUCUUGUACACACCGCCCGUCACACCAUGGGAGUUGGUUCUACCUUAAGGCAAGGUUUAAAACCCUUGACCACGGUAUAGUCAGCGACUGGGGUGAAGUCGUAACAAGGUAGCCAAGGG
rnacentral:rRNA from 1 species